UCUUGUUUUCAUACGUGGCACGAAAAAUAGCACGUAACAAAUAAAUGUGGUCGUCGUGUCUCAUUAUAGAAUCGCUUAAUAGUUGAUACACACUCAGUGAUGUUUAUAACAGAUUUGAGGCCUAUGCCAGCCAUCGUAACCACAAGAUAUGCAAGAUUUUCUUGUGCUAGUAUUAACCUUUCAGCAGAAAUCUCAAUGUCUUCGCUUGGAUAAACAGCAUCCCGUUGGAGAAACUACCGAUGUCGAUCG